rnacentral:rRNA from 1 species
UGGGGAAUAUUGCACAAUGGGCGCAAGCCUGAUGCAGCGACGCCGCGUGGGGGAUGACGGCCUUCGGGUUGUAAACUCCUUUCGCCAGGGACGAAGCGUUUUGUGACGGUACCUGGAGAAGAAGCACCGGCUAACUACGUGCCAGCAGCCGCGGUAAUACGUAGGGUGCAAGCGUUGUCCGGAAUUACUGGGCGUAAAGAGCUCGCAGGUGGUUUGUCACGUCGUCUGUGAAAUUCCACAGCUUAACUGUGGGCGUGCAGGCGAUACGGGCUGACUUGAGUACUGUAGGGGUAACUGGAAUUCCUGGUGUAGCGGUGAAAUGCGCAGAUAUCAGGAGGAACACCGAUGGCGAAGGCAGGUUACUGGGCAGUUACUGACGCUGAGGAGCGAAAGCAUGGGUAGCAAACAGGAUUAGAUACCCUGGUAGUCCAUGCCGUAAACGGUGGGCGCUAGGUGUAGGGGCCUUUUGGGGUUUCUGUGCCGUAGCUAACGCAUUAAGCGCCCCGCCUGGGGAGUACGGCCGCAAGGCUA